rnacentral:rRNA from 1 species
UACGAAGGGGGCUAGCGUUGCUCGGAAUCACUGGGCGUAAAGGGUGCGUAGGCGGGUCUUUUAAGUCAGGGGUGAAAUCCUGGAGCUCAACUCCAGAACUGCCUUUGAUACUGAAGAUCUUGAGUUCGGGAGAGGUGAGUGGAACUGCGAGUGUAGAGGUGAAAUUCGUAGAUAUUCGCAAGAACACCAGUGGCGAAGGCGGCUCACUGGCCCGAUACUGACGCUGAGACGCGAAAGCGUGGGGAGCGAACGG